UUCAGGCUCUCUCCUGGGUGUCUGUAGGUGGUCUGGAAGAGAACAGAGGAAUUGCCAGAAGUCAGUGACUGCUAGGGGGACGAGAGGUGUGCAGCCCUGCUAGGUCCUGCUGCUGCUGGGGAUCUCCGACUAGGAAUUUAGACCUCUUUAUGCUCUAAGUGAAGGCCUUCACUGAAUAAAAGUGCUCAGAAGAACCAGCUUAUUUUCUCAAGAAAAAGAAAUCAGGACCAACCUGGUUUAUUUUGCCUUCUGCUUCGGAUAAACUAAUCAAAAUCAGGUGAAUUGUCAGCUGUAUACAGUUGGAUGUCAGACGCAGAAAACGACACACAGAUCCAACGGUCCCGUUCUCCAACAGGGUGCCUGCACCUCAUUUGCUGUCCGAGUUGUCACAUUCCAAGGGGGAGCACAGACAAGAUGCUCAUACUCAGGCUUUCAGUUUUCUGUUCUGCGUGACCCUCUUGGCCGCCUGUGCCCCCAUAGCCCACACUGCAGGUCUAAUUUAACCCAACAAGACAGACAUGAGAAGAGACCACUACUGGAAAAAAUGAUAUGAAUGUGGAUAACGUGGUUUCUUUUUAACAUUUUAUUAAAACAAGUGAAAUGAAAAGAAAAAAUCCUAAAAAUUUAUCUGAAUUUACCAAGUUAGUGAAGUUCUGCCAGCCUGUUUCCUACGCCAUUCAGAAGGUCAAAAGAGCUGCACUGGAUUAAACAUUUGGCACAGCCAUCCAGGGUCAAGUGUCUUCUUUAUUUAAACUGUAAUAUU